CUGUCCUUUUACUUUGUGUACAUAUGUGAGCGAGUUAUGCCCGAGUAUGAUCCACUCAACUUUUCCUAUAAAAGAGAAGUUAAUAUAAGUUUAAGGAUCUAAUGUUCUCUGUAUGUAAUGUUAAUCAGCUUUUUUUGAGGAGUGUUUUUAAGUCAGUGUUUUAGUUCUCAAAUUGAAGGUGUAGGCUCAUAUUGAUUUAAAUUUUUCUAUUAGCUUGCUUACAGAGAUGUCUCGACUGAAUUGUCGAUUAUAGUGUUUCCAUUAGAAAUUUGGCUCACCAGUCGCCACUGACCAAUCAGGAUCAAGUAUUAGGCUACAUUCAGGAUAGCAACUUCCUGUCAGUGUACACUUGUUCCCUAUGCCAUUUGCA
ensembl:lncRNA